UACGGGGGGGCAAGCGUUGUUCGGAAUUACUGGGCGUAAAGGCUCGUAGGUGGCCAACUAAGUCAGACGUGAAAUCCCUCGGCUUAACCGGGGAACUGCGUCUGAUACUGGAUGGCUGGAGUAUGGGAGAGGGAUGCGGAAUUCCAGGUGUAGCGGUGAAAUGCGUAGAUAUCUGGAGGAACACCGGUGGCGAAGGCGGCAUCCUGGACCUUACUGACGCUGAGGAGCGAAAGCCAGGGGAGCAAACGGG
rnacentral:rRNA from 1 species